rnacentral:lncRNA from 1 species
ACCACGAGGGAGGCUGCAGCCGUGCCAGACGACGUCGACGAAGAAGCUCACCAUUUGUUCGAUAAAAUGCUUCAAAGACAGUAAGGCAAAGCUGAGCAAGCAACCAAACAAACUCUUAUAGAAACCAGAGCAAGCAACCAAACAAACUCUUAUAGAAACCAGGCCAGCUGAGCAAACCAACCAAACAAACCCUGUUGACUUGCUGGGGACAAGUCUAGCCUAGCCUCGCUCCAAUUAAGCCAAGAAACCAAACAGACCCUGAGUGUUAUUAGUAGAUUUCUCUCUCUCUGCAUCUCGUGUGUCCUUAUCUUUGCAAAUAAUUCGAUAAAUGAAGGGGUUCAUCUGGAAAAUUCUUGGGUCCUUCCAUUCCAAAGAUUAUAAAGCUCUCCACCGUACGCCAAGAUGUUCAGUUUGGUCCUCAUAUGAGGUAGAUAAACAUGUUGCAACAACUAAAGAAGUCAUGUGUUGUAUCACCACGUGAAUGACGAUUGUCAUGCCAUGAAAAAAGCAGGAUAGAUUAGGGCUUUAAAUUCAGGUUCACAUGCAAAGCGCACAAAAUCCGAAUUAAUUAAUGAGCCUAAUACUACUCUCUAUAUAUGAAAAAUACUUUGUGCUCCUGUUC